AAUGCAAUUGCUGAAUCAUAUGGUAAUUCUCUUUUCAAUUUUUUAAGGAAUGUCCAUGUUAUUUUCCACAAUGGCUGUACCAUCUUACAUUCCCAUCAAU
rnacentral:pre_miRNA from 1 species